CUCAUCAUUCUUCUUCUCCGAUCAUCAUUCAGGCACCAGUUCUACACUCCCGGCGUAGAGGACGAUCGUUUGAACCGAUCAGUUUAAGAUUCUCAACUGUUUGUAGAGGGUGUUGUUGUUCGUUGAGACCUCUGUUAGAAGAAGAACCCUAGCAUAUAUCUGAGAACGUGCGUUCACUUUAAGAGAUGGUGAGGCGUUGCUUGAGGAAACGCUGGAAGAAGAAAAUUUGGAGGAUGCAAAUCUCGUGGAAGUUGAAGUGAAGGCCGAACAGUAGUACGUUCGGUUAUCUGUUAGUUUAGUAUAUUAGAAUACCGUAUUUUUGAACGACCCUUUUUUUUUAUUAUUAUUUGACCGUUCGGUAUUUCCGUUUUGUAAACCGUUCGGUCAGGUAUGCUUGGGUCGUACUUUGUU